CACCCUUCCCAGCUCCCAGCUCCCAGCUCACCCUGGAAGUCGAAGUCAGUGAGAGAAGGGUUGAUAGCAUCCAGAACCCUGACCCAGCACCACAGAGCAGCUGGGAGGCCUUGGGGCUCAGCGCCAGGCGAGGCUGUCCAUUCCAGGCUGUGUCAGCAGAGCUCUCUGCACUUCCACAGCAGCAUCUGCAAACAAGAUGAGUGACAGAGCCUCGCACAGGGCGCUGAGAGUGAAAUGAAAUCAUGCAGAGAAAGCUCGGAGCACAGCACAAGCACACAGGGCUUGAUCCACACGCCAGGCUCACUCUCAGCAAUGCUAAAUGUGGCGUGACGGGGAAGCGUGGAGCUGGCUGUAACUGGACACUUCAAGGGAGCAGAAUCUCUGGGAGCCGGUUCAGAGCACAUAUGCCGCCACUCAGAACUGUCAUCUGCCCACCCUAUGUCUCCUUCCUGGACAGGAGACUAUGGAGGAAGAUGUGGGUCAAAUUCCCUUCUACCGCAAGACCAUAAUCAUCAUAGACCCGCAUCAUUGGAACACUCAGAAGUCCAAGUUGCAUGCUUUUUAUCUUUGCUAUCUCUUCUCGCCUCUGUCCCUGUGGACAGUGAACACAGCAUACUGGAGCCAGUGCUUUAGGGAGCAAACUGAAUCCAUCACUUCCAAUUCCACAUUCAGCAAAAUAAAGGCAAACUGGCCAUAGCUACAUAGCUGCCCAUGCAAAAAUCUCACACAUUAUCAACCAGAAUGCUGCCUAAUGUGUUGGCACACACCUUUAAUCCCAGCA